rnacentral:rRNA from 1 species
AUUGAACGCUGGCGGCAUGCCUUACACAUGCAAGUCGAACGGCAGCACGGGAGCAAUCCUGGUGGCGAGUGGCGAACGGGUGAGUAAUAUAUCGGAACGUGCCCAGUCGUGGGGGAUAACGUAGCGAAAGCUACGCUAAUACCGCAUACGAUCUAUGGAUGAAAGCGGGGGGAUCGCAAGACCUCGCGCGAUUGGAGCGGCCGAUAUCAGAUUAGGUAGUUGGUGAGGUAAAGGCUCACCAAGCCGACGAUCUGUAGCUGGUCUGAGAGGACGACCAGCCACACUGGGACUGAGACGCGGCCCAGACUCCUACGGGAGGCAGCAGUGGGGAAUUUUUGGACAAUGGGCGCAAGCCUGAUCCAGCAAUGCCGCGUGCAGGAUGAAGGCCU